rfam:Lupinus angustifolius cultivar Tanjil contig_4511, whole genome shotgun sequence.
AGCAGGGUAGACGAAUUGGUCAACUCAUUUGGCUUGUGACUUGAAGAUUGUAGGUUCGAAUCCUGUCUCCGCCU